rnacentral:rRNA from 1 species
AACGAACGCUGGCGGCAGGCUUAACACAUGCAAGUCGAACGCUGUAGCAAUACAGAGUGGCGCACGGGUGAGUAAUACUUGGGAAUAUGCCUUUUAGUUGGGAAUAACCACUGGAAACGGUGGCUAAUACCCGAUACGCCCUCCGGGGGAAAGAUUUAUCGCUAAAGAUUAGCCCAAGCCAGAUUAUGGUAGUUGGUGAGGUAAUGGCUCACCAAGCCUACGAUCUGUAGCUGGUCUGAGAGGACGACCAGCCAC